rnacentral:rRNA from 1 species
CUUGCACCGGGUGGAUGAGUGGCGAACGGGUGAGUAACACGUGAGUAACCUGCCCCUGACUUCGGGAUAAGCCCGGGAAACUGGGUCUAAUACCGGAUACGACUGCCGGACGCAUGUCUGGUGGUGGAAAGUUUUUUCGGUUGGGGAUGGGCUCGCGGCCUAUCAGUUUGUUGGUGAGGUAAUGGCUCACCAAGACGACGACGGGUAGCCGGCCUGAGAGGGCGACCGGCCACACUGGGACUGAGACACGGCCCAGACUCCUACGGGAGGCAGCAGUGGGGAAUAUUGCACAAUGGGGGAAACCCUGAUGCAGCGACGCAGCGUGCGGGAUGACGGCCUUCGGGUUGUAAACCGCUUUCAGCAGGGAAGAAGCGCAAGUGACGGUACCUGCAGAAGAAGUACCGGCUAACUACGUGCCAGCAGCCGCGGUAAUACGUAGGGUACGAGCGUUGUCCGGAAUUAUUGGGCGUAAAGAGCUCGUAGGUGGUUGGUCACGUCUGCUGUGGAAACGCAACGCUUAACGUUGCGCGUGCAGUGGGUACGGGCUGACUAGAGUGCAGUAGGGGAGUCUGGAAUUCCUGGUGUAGCGGUGAAAUGCGCAGAUAUCAGGAGGAACACCGGUGGCGAAGGCGGGACUCUGGGCUGUAACUGACACUGAGGAGCGAAAGCAUGGGGAGCGAACAGGAUUAGAUACCCUGGUAGUCCAUGCCGUAAACGUUGGGCACUAGGUGUGGGGGGCAUUCCACGUUCUCCGCGCCGUAGCUAACGCAUUAAGUGCCCCGCCUGGGGAGUACGGUCGCAAGGCUAAAACUCAAAGGAAUUGACGGGGGCCCGCACAAGCGGCGGAGCAUGCGGAUUAAUUCGAUGCAACGCGAAGAACCUUACCAAGGCUUGACAUACACCGGACCGUCCUGGAAACAGGUCCUCUUCUUUGAAGCUGGUGUACAGGUGGUGCAUGGUUGUCGUCAGCUCGUGUCGUGAGAUGUUGGGUUAAGUCCCGCAACGAGCGCAACCCUCGUUCUAUGUUGCCAGCACGUGAUGGUGGGAACUCAUAGGAGACUGCCGGGGUCAACUCGGAGGAAGGUGGGGAUGACGUCAAAUCAUCAUGCCCUUUAUGUCUUGGGCUUCACGCAUGCUACAAUGGCUGGUACAGAGAGAGGCGAACCCGUGAGGGCAAGCGAAUCCCUUAAAGCCAGUCUCAGUUCGGAUCGUAGUCUGCAAUUCGACUACGUGAAGUCGGAGUCGCUAGUAAUCGCAGAUCAGCAACGCUGCGGUGAAUACGUUCCCGGGCCUUGU